AUUUUAAUUUUUGAUGGUUAUAUUUUUCAUUUCUAAAAGUUCUUUUUCACAUGUGCUGUGUGACUUAUUAUAUUUUAUGGUUCCCUGCAGAUAUUUGAAAUCUUGUCUUUAAUUUUCUGAACAAGCAAAGUUGUAAUUGAAUCUGACACUUCGGCAGGUCCAUUCUGCUGACUCAUGUAUCUGCUGGCUUUCACGCACGAUGUCUUCUUUCCCCCUGUGCCUGGUUGGAAAUGGCAGCACUGAGCAGGCAAAGCCAUGGAGCAUGACAGGGCCCAGAGGCCUGAAGGAAGGGUUGGGUAUAUUUCGAGGAGAAACUCCCCCCAAGAAAGACAGAAAAAAAUGGGCAAAGGCGUCAGGUCCACAGACCUGACAAAGAACAAACACCACCCUGGGAAAGUGGGUGAUUCUACAGAGAAGUCAAGAUGGAGCAAGCAGCGUUCACCUUCACAAGUAAUGAGCUAAAUGAGGGCUGCGGGGUGGGGGGUGCAGGCUCUCGCCUCCUGCUCACGAAACUCAGGAGGGCAGUUUUGGAAAUUUAUCAAAAAGCCAUAGCAAUGGGCAUACCAGAAAUUCCACUUCUAUAAAAAUCCCCCAAGGAAAAUUAUGUUUGUGCAUAGAAUUUUUGCUACAAAUGCUCAGGGCAAGGUUUUCUGCAAAUUAAUUGUGAAAGGGCGAAACACAUACACAUAAAUGAAUAAUCACUCAUACCGCCACCACUUUCCUUUUCUGAGAUUAGAUCAGGUAUACUGACAGCUGUCUUCUCUGCCUCCCUAGUCCCACGCCCAUGAACUGCUGCCAUCACUUAGUGUGUGUUGUUUUCAGUUUUCUUGUGAUUAUGUCAGUAUGAACCUGGAUUUAUUCUCUA